rnacentral:SRP_RNA from 1 species
GCCAGGCACGGUGGCGCAUGCCUGUAGUCCCAGCUACUCAGGAGGCUGAGGCUGGAGUAUCGCUUGAGUCCAGGAGUUCUGGGCUGUAGAGCGCUAUGCCGAUCAGGUGUCCGCACUAAGUUCAGCAUCAAUAUGGUGACCUCCCGGGAGCAGGGGACCACGAGGUUGCCUAAAGAGGGGUGAACCAGCCCAGGUCAGAAACAGAGCGGGUCAAAACUCCCAUGCUGAUCAGCAGUGGGAUCGCCUGUGAAUAGCCACUGCACUCCAGCCUGGGCAACAUAGAGAGACCCUGUCUCU